ensembl:misc_RNA predicted gene, 27753
GGGUGACUGAUUGUCCUUGCCAGCUGGCUAAUAUCAUAAUUAACAAAGUUGCUACCACAUCUGCAAAGUUUAAUUGAAAAACUGACCAGUGGUACGAUGGCAUUGUCACCAAGAUCACAGGGGAUUCGGAGUCGACUUCUGCUUCAGGUGGAACGGCAAGGUUAUGCAGCAAGAAGAAAAAUUGUGAACUUAUUCAACCAAA